GAGUUUGAUCGUGGCUCAGAUUGAACGCUGGCGGCAUGCCUUACACAUGCAAGUCGAACGGUAACAGGUCUUCGGAUGCUGACGAGUGGCGAACGGGUGAGUAAUACAUCGGAACGUGCCCGAUCGUGGGGGAUAACGAAGCGAAAGCUUUGCUAAUACCGCAUAAGAUCUACGGAUGAAAGCAGGGACCGCAAGGCCUUGCGCGAACGGAGCGGCCGAUGGCAGAUUAGGUAGUUGGUGGGAUAAAAGCUUACCAAGCCGACGAUCUGUAGCUGGUCUGAGAGGACGACCAGCCACACUGGGACUGAGACACGGCCCAGACUCCUACGGGAGGCAGCAGUGGGAAUUUUGGACAAUGGCGAAAGCCUGAUCCAGCCAUGCCGCGUGCAGGAUGAAGGCCUCGGUU
rnacentral:rRNA from 1 species